UUAGGAAUCUUGGACAAUGGGCGCAAGCCUGAUCCAGCCAUGCCGCGUGAGUGAUGAAGGCCUUAGGGUUGUAAAGCUCUUUCAGCGGGGAAGAUAAUGACGGUACCCGCAGAAGAAGCCCCGGCUAACUUCGUGCCAGCAGCCGCGGUAAUACGAAGGGGGCUAGCGUUGCUCGGAAUCACUGGGCGUAAAGCGCACGUAGGCGGCUUUCUAAGUCAGGGGUGAAAUCCUGGAGCUCAACUCCAGAACUGCCUUUGAUACUGGAGAGCUCGAGUCCGGAAGAGGUGAGUGGAACUCCGAGUGUAGAGGUGAAAUUCGUAGAUAUUCGGAAGAACACCAGUGGCGAAGGCGGCUCACUGGUCCGGUACUGACGCUGAUGUGCGAAAGCGUGGGGAGCAAACA
rnacentral:rRNA from 1 species